rnacentral:rRNA from 1 species
CGGGGGGGCAAGCGUUGUUCGGAAUUACUGGGCGUAAAGGGCGCGUAGGCGGUUCGCUAAGUCGGAUGUGAAAACUCUGGGCUCAACCCAGAGACUGCAUCCGAAACUGACGGGCUAGAGUUCUGGAGGGGGUAGCGGAAUUCCUGGUGUAGCGGUGAAAUGCGUAGAUAUCAGGAGGAACACCGGUGGCGAAGGCGGCUACCUGGACAGAAACUGACGCUGAGGCGCGAAAGCUAGGGGAGCAAACAGGAUUAGAUACCCUGGUAGUCCUAGCCCUAAACGAUGGAUACUUGGUGUGACUGGGAUUGAAUCCAGUCGUGCCGAAGCUAACGCAUUAAGUAUCCCGCCUGGGGAGUACGGUCGCAAGGCUG